CUAAGAAUAUUCCGCAAUGGACGGAAGUCUGACGGAGCGACGCCGCGUGGAUGAAGAAGGCCGAAAGGUUGUAAAGUUCUUUUGCUGGGGAAGAAUAACCGCAGGAGGGAAUGCCUGUGGGAUGACAAGAACCGGCGAAUAAGCCCCGGCCAACUACGUGCCAGCAGCCGCGGUAACACGUAGGGGGGCGAGCGUUGUUCGGAAUUACUGGGCGUAAAGGGCAUGUAGGCGGCUUGGAAAGCCUGGCGUGAAAAGUCUGCAGCUUAACUGCAGGGGUGCGCUGGGAACUGCUGAGCUUGAGUGACGGAGAGGGAGCUGGAAUUCCUGGUGUAGGGGUGAAAUCUGUAGAUAUCAGGAAGAACACCGAUGGCGAAGGCAAGCUCCUGGCCGAUGACUGACGCUGAGGUGCGAAAGUGUGGGGAUCAAACAGGAUUAGAUACCCUGGUAGUCCACACAGUCAACGAUGUGCACUAGGUGCUGGGGCGGUAGCUUCGGUGCCGGAGCGAACGUGGUGAAGUGCACCGCCUGGGGAGUAUGCUCGCAAGGGUGAAACUUAAAUG
rnacentral:rRNA from 1 species